GCAAGGCAUAGUGGUAUGUGCCUGUAGUUCCAGCUACUAGGGAGGCUGAGCCAGGAGAAUCAUUUAAGCCCAGGAGUUUGAGAUUAGCUUGGGCAACAGAGAGAGAGACUGUCUCUU
rnacentral:sRNA from 1 species